rnacentral:rRNA from 1 species
UACAGAGGUCCCAAGCGUUGUCCGGAAUCACUGGGCGUAAAGCGCGCGCAGGCGGCUGUCUACGUCCGGGGUGAAAGCCCAGAGCUCAACUCUGGGAUUGCCUUGGAUACGGGAUAGCUUGAGGAUCGGAGAGGCAAGGGGAAUUCCACGUGUAGCGGUGAAAUGCGUAGAGAUGUGGAGGAACACCUGUGGCGAAGGCGCCUUGCUGGCCGAUUUCUGACGCUGAGGCGCGAAAGCGUGGGGAGCAAACAGG